rnacentral:rRNA from 1 species
GUUGAACGCUGGCGGCAGGCCUAACACAUGCAAGUCGAACGAGUGGCGGACGGGUGAGUAAUGUCUGGGACACUGCCUGAUGGAGGGGGCUAACUACUGGAACAGGUAGCUAAUACCGCAUACCAUCAGAUUUGCCAUGGUGGGAUUAGCUAGUUGGUGGGUGAACGGCUCACCAAGUCAACGGUCCCUAGCUGGUCUGAGAGGUUGACCUGCCACACUGGAACUGAGACACGGCCCAGACGCCUCCGGGAGGCAGCAGUGGGGAAUAUUGCACAAUGGGCGCAAGCCUGACGCAGCCAUGCCGCGUGUGUGAAGAAGGCCUUCGGGUUGUAAAGUACUUUCAGCGGGGAGGCGUUACCCUCUGAAAAAGCACCGGCUAACUCCGUGCCAGCAGCCGCGGUAAUAC